rnacentral:tRNA from 1 species
GCCUCUGUGGCGGAAUUGGCAGACGCGCUGGACUCAAAAUCCAGUUUCUUCGGAAGUGUCGGUUCGACCCCGACCGGAGGUA